rnacentral:rRNA from 1 species
AGUCGAACGGUAACAGGAAACAGCUUGCUGUUUCGCUGACGAGUGGCGGACGGGUGAGUAAUGUCUGGGAAACUGCCCGAUGGAGGGGGAUAACUACUGGAAACGGUAGCUAAUACCGCAUAACGUCGCAAGACCAAAGAGGGGGACCUUCGGGCCUCUUGCCAUCGGAUGUGCCCAGAUGGGAUUAGCUAGUAGGUGGGGUAACGGCUCACCUAGGCGACGAUCCCUAGCUGGUCUGAGAGGAUGACCAGCCACACUGGAACUGAGACACGGUCCAGACUC